rnacentral:lncRNA from 1 species
GCGCUAUGUACAGAACCAUGACAUCAGUAAUAUAAACAAACAUUUUAUUAAAUGUCACGAUACUGACGUAAACACACGAUUCGUGACGAAGAUAUUCAGGGAGCGGAUCGAAACUAAAUUCCGUGCGGUGCUGGGUCACGAUAGGGAGAAUUCUUCAAAAUGGAUGCACUGUACACCAAAUUUGCUGUUUUUAGACAGCUGUUUAUGAUGUCUAUGUUCGCUUUAUUAAUGAACGGAACAAGUUCUUUAAAACUGACUGGUGUAUUCAAUGGUUUAUGUGUCACCAUUCUCUCGUACGUCGUGAUGGAUAGAUUAAUCGAUUUUUUAGAUUACUUUCUCAUCAUGGUCCGACUGAUAAUCGGAAUUAUGAGUUACGCUGUUUUCACCCAUUUUCUGUCUGUCGCAUAUCAGAUGGAUGUUAUCAAACUGCCACCAACAAUUGCUGCUUCGUAAUAUGGAAUUUAAUGCAGAUACGCUCCCACAUAAAAUGUCUAUUUAUACUCUAUCAUCGUGAAUGGAUUUGAAUGUAAAAUGCACCUGUUACACCUCAGAUUAAUUUUCUGAUUUUAAAAAUUAAUAAUAAUAAAAAAUAUGUUUUGAUUUGCAAAAUUGAUUUAAUAAAGAAAUACGUGAAAAC